rnacentral:lncRNA from 1 species
UCUCAUUUGCUUUCUAUAUAACUCAUGUAACGAGUUUUAGGCCGGUGACUCUCAAACCAGUUGGCUUUAGGGCACCAGGUUUAAUCUCACUAUCACAAGUUUACAUUUCAAUAAGUGAAGGCUCUCCUAAGUUUGAUUGCUUCGACGCUCAAGAUUAAACUAGGUUACUUGUCCCGCCUCAAAGGUAUAGUUUCUUCAACCAAAUGUCCAAGGGCUUUUCUUGAUGUUAUUGUCUCUCUUUUGUUUUUCUCACUUUUCUCUAAUUUUUCUGAAUUUUUUUUUUUAUCAUCUUCUCAUUUGCUUUCUAUAUAACUCAUGUAACGAGUUUUAGGCCGGUGACUCUCAAACCAGUUGGCUUUAGGGCACCAGGUUUUAAACCCUUGCAGACUUAUUCACUCGAGUUGUAAAGGUUCGAUCAGAUGACUUUCAAUUAACCUCUUUCCCUCUUGCUUUCUAUAUGACUCUUUUAGCGAGCUUUAGGCCGGUGACUCCCAAGCCAGUUAACUUUAGGGCACCAGAUUUUGAAAUAUCCUUACAUACUUAUUUGCUCGAGUCAUAAAGGCAUGAAAAGAAAUGUAUUGUUUUCACAAAUUUAUUUUAUGCUCUUAUUGUUCUAGAUAUUUAGUUUCCAAAACUAACCCCUAAUUUAAGAUUUUCAUCUAAUCUUCACCUCACUGGUCUAGGCAAUCCACACAGUAGAAUUCAUGCACGGAGCCUACACUCAUCUCAAUGCUCCCUUACAAUAGCUCAACCAUCACCAAACUAUCUUAAGGCAGUUUACGGUUUAAUUCAAUAGAAGGUUAUUAUUUUUUUCUAUUUUUUGCUCAAAAUCCAGUCAUUUAUCUAAUAUGUCAAGCAUGAAUAGUGUGCACAAAUAAUGUCAAGUUUUGCAUCAACAAUUGUCCGAUAACGUAGUUGCAUUAGAUCCAAAGAUUUUGCAGUUUAACCUAGUCCAAUUUUAACAUCAUAGCUAGUAAGGUUAUCAAGCCCACAUAAGCAUGCAUAAGAAGAGUUAAAACAAAAAUGAAUAAAAUGCAAAUUUUUUUUUCCAUGCACACAUACCGAUGAACACAGAUAAUACAGAUACUUAGUUAAAAUUAUGUCACCUCCCCAAACUUUGUUACUACAUUGUCCUCAAUGUAAAAUUAACAAAAGAUGAAAGACAGAAUUUUACGGACUACAUAAAAAUGAAAAUCCAAAAUGUGAUAAAUAGUACUUCCCUUGAAUCAAAAUGGACGAGGUGGUGGGAAACUGGGUCCUGCUGUACCAUCAUCCGACGGAGGUGGGUGUCAGCCAAGGAGCUGCCGCAUCAUCUCAUUCAUUUCCCGCAUCAAG